GUUUGUGGCUCAAUGGUAGAGCACUUGCUUAGCAUGUGCAAGGCACUGGGUUUGAUCCUCAGCACCACA
rnacentral:tRNA from 1 species